UUCCAGUUUAUCCUGCUGGAGGAUGCAGCUAUUUGGUUUGGGUUUAGACAUGCAAGUCUUUUCUUUGAUUUAUCAUAGGAAGGCAAACUGCUCAGUAACACGUAGAUAAUCUACCCUUGAGUGAAGGAUAAGCACGGGAAACUGUGUCUAACACUUCAUAGGGGAUUUGACCUGGAAAGGUAGAUCCCUGAAACUCGUGCUCAAGGAUGAGUCUGCGGCUGAUUAGCUUGUUGGUGGGGUAACUGCCUACCAAGGCGAUGAUCAGUACGGGCUCUUAGCGGAGUUGCCCGGAGAAGGAAUCUGAGACACUAUUCCUAGCUCUACGGAGUGCAGCAGUCGCGGAACAUUUACAAUGCACGAAAGUGUGAUAAUGCGAACCAAAGUGUUUUUCUUUUUGAAAAACUUUUUCUCGGCGUAAAAACCCGGGAGAAUAAGGACUGGGAAAGACUGGUGCCAGCCGCCGCGGUAAUACCAGCAGUUCAAGUUGCAUCCCUUUUUAUUGGGUCUAAAACAUCCGUAGCUUGCCGUUUAAGUCUCUUGUGAAAUCCCACGUCUCAAGCGUGGUGAAGUGCAGGAGAUACUGAGCGGCUAGAGAUCGGUAGACGUAAGAAGUACACCGGGGGUAACGGUCAAAUGUGUUAAUCCUCGGCGGACUAACAAUGAGCGAAGGCAUCUUACGAGGACGAAUCUGACAGUGAGGGAUGAAGGCCAGGGGCGCAAAACGGAUUAGAUACCCGUGUAGUCCUGGCAGUAAACACUGCUCACUAAACAUCGGGCCCUCUUCGGGAGGAUUCGGUGCUGAAGCGAAGGCGAAGAGUGAGCUACCUGGGAAGUAUAGUCGCAAGAUCGAAACUUAAAGGAAUUGGCGGGGAGACAUACAACGAGUGACGCGUGCGGUUCAAUUAGAUUUUACACCGUGAACCUCACCAGGAGCGACAGCAGGAUGAAGGUCAGUCUGAAGGGCUUACCUGACACGCUGAGCGGAGAUGCAUGGCCGACGUCAGCCUGUGCUGUGAAGUGACCUGUUAAAUCAGGUAACAGGCGAGACCCGUGUCGAUAAUUACUACAGAAAUGGGUACCUUAUCGAGACUGCCUUGGUAACAAGGAGGAAGGUGCGGGCUACGUUAGGUGAGUACGUCCCUAAUCCCCUGGGCUACACGCGCGCGGCAAUGGUAUGUUCAAAUGGAUGCGACUCCGAGAGGAGAAGCUAAUCCCCUAACGCAUAUCUCAGUCCAGAUUGAGGGUUGCAACCCACCCUCAUGACGAUGGAAUUCGUAGUAAUCGGAUAUUAGCACUGUCCGGUGAAUAAGUCCCUGUCUCUUGCACACACCGCCCGUCAAACCAACCGAGUUAUGAAGGGGUGAAGCCCUUUUUGGGAAAAACCUUUUCACGACAAGGUAGGUUAAGUCGUCACAAGGUAUCUGUAGGGGAACCUGCAGAUGGAUCACCUCC
rnacentral:rRNA from 1 species